rnacentral:rRNA from 1 species
AGUUUGAUCCUGGCUCAGAACGAACGCUGGCGGCGUGCCUAACACAUGCAAGUCGAACGAGAAAGGGACUUCGGUCCUGAGUAGAGUGGCGCACGGGUGAGUAACACGUGGAUAAUCUGCCUGAUAAUCUGGGAUAACACCACGAAAGAGGUGCUAAUACCGGAUAAGCCCACAGCCUUUUCGGAGGCAGCGGGAAAAGAUGGCUCUUUUGAAAGCUAUUGUUAUCAGAUGAGUCGCGGUCAUUACUAGUUGGGAGGGUAAUGNCUCCAAGGUCGAUGGUAGUGGUUGAAGAAUGAUACCCACUGACUGAAACGUCAAUCUCGGAGGANAUGGAUUUNCAUGGGACCUCCACACNCCUNGGAUAAGUUCGAUCGAANUUUAGAGAGACUCAUGUAUCUGUGAUNCGCUUAAGANCCGUCUCNCCCNCGGAUCAGCAUNUACUGANUGCUUAGNGUAUUANUGNAUUG